UACGUAGGGGGCAAGCGUUUGUCCGGAUUUAUUGGGCGUAAAGAGCGUGUAGGCGGCUUUACAGGUCCGUUGUGAAAACUCGAGGCUCAACCUCGAGACGCCGGUGGAAACCGUAAGGCUAGAGUCCGGAAGAGGAGAGUGGAAUUCCUGGUGUAGCGGUGAAAUGCGCAGAUAUCAGGAGGAACACCCGUGGCGAAAGCGGCUCUCUGGGACGGUACUGACGCUGAGACGCGAAAGCGUGGGGAGCAAACAG
rnacentral:rRNA from 1 species